rnacentral:rRNA from 1 species
UCUACGGGCGGCAGCAGUGAGGAAUAUUGGUCAAUGGCCGAGAGGCUGAACCAGCCAAGUCGCGUGAGGGAAGACGGCCCUACGGGUUGUAAACCUCUUUUGUCGGGGAGCAAAGAGAGUCACGUGUGACUCAUUGAGAGUACCCGAAGAAAAAGCAUCGGCUAACUCCGUGCCAGCAGCCGCGGUAAUACGGAGGAUGCGAGCGUUAUCCGGAUUUAUUGGGGGUAAAGGGAGCGUAGGCCGCAUGUCAAGCGUGCUGUGAAAUGUCCGGGCUCAACCCGGGCCUUGCAGCGCGAACUGGCGUGCUUGAGUCCGCGGAAGGCAGGCGGAAUUCGUCGUGUAGCGGUGAAAUGCUUAGAUAUGACGAAGAACCCCGAUUGCGAAGGCAGCUUGCUGCAGCGGAACUGACGCUGAUGCUCGAAAGCGCGGGUAUCGAACAGGAUUAGAUACCCGUGUAGUC